CCUACGGGCGGCAGCAGUGAGGAAUAUUGGUCAAUGGGCGAGAGUCUGAACCAGCCAAGUCGCGUGAAGGAUGAAGGAUCUAUGGUUUGUAAACUUCUUUUAUAUGGGAAUAAAGUGAGGAACGUGUUCCUUUUUGUAUGUACUAUAUGAAUAAGCAUCGGCUAACUCCGUGCCAGCAGCCGCGGUAAUACGGAGGAUGCGAGCGUUAUCCGGAUUUAUUGGGUUUAAAGGGUGCGUAGGUGGUUAAUUAAGUCAGCGGUGAAAGUUUGUGGCUCAACCAUAAAAUUGCCGUUGAAACUGGUUGACUUGAGUAUAUUUGAGGUAGGCGGAAUGCGUGGUGUAGCGGUGAAAUGCAUAGAUAUCACGCAGAACUCCGAUUGCGAAGGCAGCUUACUAAACUAUAACUGACACUGAAGCACGAAAGCGUGGGGAUCAAACAGGAUUAGAUACCCUUGUAGUC
rnacentral:rRNA from 1 species